UACGAAGGGGGCUAGUGUUGUUCGGAAUUACUGGGCGUAAAGGGCGCGUAGGCUGUGCUGUAAGUCAGGCGUGAAAGCCCCGGGCUCAACCUGGGAAUUGCGCUUGAUACUGCGGCGCUGGAAGGUGGGAGAGGAUGGCGGAAUUCCCAGUGUAGAGGUGAAAUUCAUAGAUAUUGGGAAGAACACCGGUGGCGAAGGCGGCCAUCUGGCCCACAUUUGACGCUGAGGCGCGAAAGCGUGGGGAGCAAAC
rnacentral:rRNA from 1 species